rnacentral:rRNA from 1 species
GACGAACGCUGGCGGCGUGCUUAACACAUGCAAGUCGAACGAUGAAGCCGGAGCUUGCUCCGGUGGAUUAGUGGCGAACGGGUGAGUAACACGUGAGUAACCUGCCCUUGACUCUGGGAUAAGCGUUGGAAACGACGUCUAAUACCGGAUACGAGCUGGGACCGCAUGGUCACCAGCUGGAAAGAACUUCGGGAAAGGAUGGACGCGCGGCCUAUCAGUUAGUUGGUGAGGUAACGGCUCACCAAGACGACGACGGGUAGCCGGCCUGGGAGGGUGACCGGCCACACUGGGACUGAGACACGGCCCAGACUCCUACGGGAGGCAGCAGUGGGGAAUAUUGCACAAUGGGCGCAAGCCUGAUGCAGCAACGCCGCGUGAGGGACGACGGCCUUCGGGUUGUAAACCUCUUUUAGCAGGGAAGAAGCGAAAGUGACGGUACCUGCAGAAAAAGCACCGGCUAACUACGUGCCAGCAGCCGCAGUAACAC